CAGUAAAGGAUGCACGCUGCACAUUUUUCACGUUUUAAAAUAUAUUGUUCAGUGAACAAUGGCUGCAAACAGCAGGCUCAUUGGUACUAUAUUCAGCUUGCUGCUUAUAUGGGUUGUCCAAGGAACCCUGGAGAUUGGC